AGCUAGUUGGUGAGGUAAUGGCUCACCAAGGCUAUGACAUCUAACUGGUUUGAGAGGAUGAUCAGUCACACUGGAACUGAGACACGGUCCAGACUCCUACGGGAGGCAGCAGUGGGGAAUAUUGCACAAUGGAGGAAACUCUGAUGCAGCAACGCCGCGUGGAGGAUGACACAUUUCGGUGCGUAAACUCCUUUUAUUUGGGAAGAUAAUGACGGUACCUAAUGAAUAAGCACCGGCUAACUCCGUGCCAGCAGCCGCGGUAAUACGGGGGGUGCAAGCGUUACUCGGAAUCACUGGGCGUAAAGAGCAUGUAGGCUGGUUUGUAAGUUGGAAGUGAAAUCCUAUGGCUCAACCAUAGAACUGCUUCCAAAACUACAUACCUAGAGUAUGGGAGAGGUAGAUGGAAUUUCUGGUGUAGGGGUAAAAUCCGUAGAGAUCAGAAAGAAUACCGAUUGCGAAGGCGAUCUACUGGAACAUUACUGACGCUGAGAUGCGAAAGCGUGGGGAGCAAACAGGAUUAGAUACCCUGGUAGUCCACGCCCUAAACGAUGCACACUAGUUGUUGCUAUGCUAGACAUAGCAGUAAUGCAGUUAACACAGUAAGUGUGCCGCCUGGGGAGUACGGUCGCAAGAUUAAAACUCAAAGGAAUAGACGGGGACCCGCACAAGCGGUGGAGCAUGUGGUUUAAUUCGACGAUACGCGAAGAACCUUACCUGGCCUUGACAUAGAUAGAACUUUCUAGAGAUAGAUUGGUGCUAGCUUGCUAGAACUAUCAUACAGGUGCUGCACGGCUGUCGUCAGCUCGUGUCGUGAGAUGUUGGGUUAAGUCCCGCAACGAGCGCAACCCUCGUGUUUAGUUACUAACAGUUCGGCUGAGGACUCUAGACAGACUGCCUGGGCAACCAGGAGGAAGGUGAGGACGACGUCAAGUCAUCAUGGCCCUUACGGCCAGGGCUACACACGUGCUACAAUGGGGUAUACAAAGAGCAGCAAUACCGCGAGGUGGAGCAAAUCUCAUAAAAUAUCUCCCAGUUCGGAUAGCAGUCUGCAACUCGACUGCUUGAAGUUGGAAUCGCUAGUAAUCGUAGAUCAGCAAUGCUACGGUGAAUACGUUCCCGGGUCUUGUACUCACCGCCCGUCA
rnacentral:rRNA from 1 species